rnacentral:lncRNA from 1 species
AUAUAUAUAUGUAGAGUCCGGCUACUAUACUCUUAUGAGUACGAUUGCCCUCGUACUCAUAAGUUGUUUUCGAUGAUAGAGCUUCCGAAUCGACGAUCCACACCGUUAAACGCUAUCUAGAGCAUUCAAAACGUCUAAAAAUCAAAAUUUAUAAUUUUUCAACAUCAUGUACUUUACGAUCAAAAAGUCACAAAAUUGACAAUUUUUAACGGCUGGUAUGGAAUAUUUGCUAGUUUAACGGUGUAAAAGAAUCGAAAUUGGUUGAAUUUUUUAUAGAAAAUUCUAUUCAUUACAUAGAUAAAGAUUAAUAACUCCGAUCAUAAAUUGAAGGAUCCGAUCAUCUAUUUUUAAGACGUCGUUCAAUUUUGACCAUUCAUUUUAUAUCCGCUUGAUGAAAUUUAUUUUGAUUUCAAAAAAUUACGAAAUUUAUUUUCUAGAAGUUUCAAAUACUCUAGAUCAUAUUUAACGGAGUGGAUCGUCGAUUCGGAAGCUCAAUCAAUGAAAACAACUUAUGAGUAUGAAGGACUCUAUACUCAUAAGAAUAUAGUAGCCCUAGC